UGGGGAAUAUUGCACAAUGGGCGCAAGCCUGAUGCAGCCAUGCCGCGUGUGUGAAGAAGGCCUUCGGGUUGUAAAGCACUUUCAGCGAGGAGGAUGGUGGUGAGCUUAAUACGCUCAUCAAUUGACGUUACUCGCAGAAGAAGCACCGGCUAACUCCGUGCCAGCAGCCGCGGUAAUACGGAGGGUGCAAGCGUUAAUCGGAAUUACUGGGCGUAAAGCGCACGCAGGCGGUUUGUUAAGUCAGAUGUGAAAUCCCCGGGCUCAACCUGGGAACUGCAUUUGAAACUGGCAAGCUAGAGUCUCGUAGAGGGGGGUAGAAUUCCAGGUGUAGCGGUGAAAUGCGUAGAGAUCUGGAGGAAUACCGGUGGCGAAGGCGGCCCCCCUGGACGAAGACUGACGCUCAGGUGCGAAAGCGUGGGGCAGCAAACAGGAUUAGAUACCCUGGUAGUCCAGCGCUGUAAACGAUGUCGAUUUGGAGGUUGUGCCCUUGAGGCGUGGCUUCCGGAGCUAACGCGUUAAAUCGACCGCCUGGGGAGUACGGCCGCAAGGUUAAAACUCAAAGGAAUUGACGGGGUC
rnacentral:rRNA from 1 species